AUUGAACGCUGGCGGCAUGCUUUACACAUGCAAGUCGAACGGCAGCGCGGGGCAACCUGGCGGCGAGUGGCGAACGGGUGAGUAAUACAUCGGAAAGUACCCAGAAGUGGGGGAUAACGUAGUGAAAGUUACGCUAAUACCGCAUACGUUCUACGGAAGAAAGUGGGGGACCUUCGGGCCUCAUGCUUUUGGAGCGGACGGUGUCUGAUUAGAGAGUUGGUGAGGUAAAGGCUCACCAAGGCGACGAUCAGUAGCUGGUCUGAGAGGACGACCAGCCACACUGGGACUGAGACACGGCCCAUACUCCUACGGGAGGCAGCAGUGGGGAAUUUUGGACAAUGGGCGCAAGCCUGAUCCAGCAAUGCCGCGUGAGUGAAGAAGGCCUUCGGGUUGUAAAGCUCUUUUGUCAGGGAAGAAACGGCUGAGGAUAAUACCUUCGGCUAAUGACGGUACCUGAAGAAUAAGCACCGGCUAACUACGUG
rnacentral:rRNA from 1 species